ACCUCGGUGUGUAGUGAUAGCACCGUCCCCGGUAUGGAUGAAACGCGGGUUCGAGUCCCGCCUGAGGUC